GACGAACGCUGGCGGCGUGCCUAAUACAUGCAAGUCGAGCGGAUGACGGAGGAGCUUGCUCCUCCUGAUUCAGCGGCGGACGGGUGAGUAACACGUGGGCAACCUGCCCUGUAGAUUGGGAUAACUCCGGGAAACCGGGGCUAAUACCGAAUAAUCCUUCGGACCUCAUGGUCCGAUGUUGAAAGACGGCAUCUCGCUGUCACUACAGGAUGGGCCCGCGGCGCAUUAGCUAGUUGGUGAGGUAACGGCUCACCAAGGCCACGAUGCGUAGCCGACCUGGGAGGGUGAUCGGCCACACUGGGACUGAGACACGGCCCAGACUCCUACGGGAGGCAGCAGUAGGGAAUCUUCCACAAUGGACGAAAGUCUGAUGGAGCAACGCCGCGUGAGUGAAGAAGGUUCUCGGAUCGUAAAACUCUGUUGUGAGGGAAGAACAAGUACCGGAGUAACUGCCGGUGCCUUGACGGUACCUCAUUAGAAAGCCACGGCUAACUACGUGCCAGCCGCCGCGGUAAUAC
rnacentral:rRNA from 1 species